AUGUCAGUAUUCAUGACAUACCAGGUGUUAACUAUUUUAUCACCUUUGCAUUCUAAUCGAAAAAUGAAGAGCAGCAGAAGGCUACCCUUUACAAGACGACAGUCUGGGGUGGGAAGGAACACCCAAUGUGCUCCCACGGGAGUGUUUGUGAAGAUCUGAGGGAAGGAUUGCUGUGCUGCAGACACUCCCCACCAGUCCUGUUGAACCAAAGUAUUUUUCAGCAAUAGAAGCAAUAGCCUUUAUAGAAUCAUUCACAGCUCCUGACACGGCAGUUUGCUCCUCUAAAGAUGAUCAGAGCCCGAGGUUGUUUCCAGGUCACUGCCACUUGGUGUACUGACAUCAUCAAGGUCACUACUCUCUGACUGGUCACUGAUUUUCUCAAGGGGCCUCUCUUCAGAGGACCUCUCGGGCUGGAGCUCCACUGGCUUAUUGUCCCCUACAGUACUUGAUAGUCCUUUAACAGGAGAACUAGCAGGUAUCAAAGGAGGCCUGUGGUACAAGCCGGAAGGAAACAGACCAGGGAAGCUAAAAGAAAAUCCAGGAGCUGUUGGAAAGCUGGGGUUCCAGGAAGUGAAAUGCCUUGGCCAAAAAAUCCACCUGCCGCAAAAUGGUUCUUGCCCUCACAAAACCUCCUGUGUUUAUUUAAGGAAGACGUAGUGCUGAACAUUUGUCCACAGUCUUUGCACUUGAUUUGGGUUCUGCAAUCAGCAUGCAUGCGCUUAUGACGACAAAGGUUUGAAAAUUGAGUAUAGGAUUUAUGGCAGACCUCACCUGUGUGCAAACAACAAAAAAGAAUCUCAGGCUUUAUGUCAAUUGCUUCUGAAUUUAGCAAGUAUCA